rnacentral:misc_RNA from 1 species
GCAAACUUGGUCAUUUAGAGGAAGUAAAAGUCGUAACAAGGUCUCCGUAGGUGAACCUGCGGAGGGAUCAUUACCAGAGAUGGCGGGCCUCCGUGCCCCCGUCCCCAACCCUUUGCCGACCAAAACCUUUUGUGCCUCGGGGGGCCGUGUGGCCUUCGGCCGCCGCCCCCCGGAGGACCCGACCAACGCUGUCUUUGUGAGACGUCGGAGUAAACAGAUUGAAUCAAUCAAAACUUUCAACAACGGAUCUCUUGGUUCUGGCAUCGAUGAAGAACGCAGC